rnacentral:rRNA from 1 species
CUGGCGUAAGCGCAUGCAGGCGGUUUGUUAGUCAGAUGUGAAGCCCGGGCUCAACCUCGGAACCGCAUUUGAAACUGGCAGGCUAGAGUCUUGUAGAGGGGGGUAGAAUUUCAGGUGUAGCGGUGAAAUGCGUAGAGAUCUGAAGGAAUACCAGUGGCGAAGGCGGCCCCCUGGACAAAGACUGACGCUCAGAUGCGAAAGCGUGGGUAGCAAACAGGAUUAGAUACCCUGGUAGUCCACGCCGUAAACGCUGUCUACUUGGAGGUUGAGGUUUAGACUUUGGCUUUCGGCGCUAACGCAUUAAGUAGACCGCCUGGGGAGUACGGCCGCAAGGUUAAAACUCAAAUGAAUUGACGGGGGCCCGCACAAGCGGUGGAGCAUGUGGUUUAAUUCGAUGCAACGCGAAGAACCUUACCUACUCUUGACAUCCAGUGAACUUUCCAGAGAUGGAUUGGUGCCUUCGGGAACACUGAGACAGGUGCUGCAUGGCUGUCGUCAGCUCGUGUUGUGAAAUGUUGGGUUAAGUCCCGCAACGAGCGCAACCCUUAUCCUUGUUUGCCAGCACGUAAUGGUGGGAACUCCAGGGAGACUGCCGGUGAUAAACCGGAGGAAGGUGGGGACGACGUCAAGUCAUCAUGGCCCUUACGAGUAGGGCUACACACGUGCUACAAUGGCAGAUACAGAGGGCAGCGAAGCUGCGAAGUGGAGCGAAUCCCUUAAAGUCUGUCGUAGUCCGGAUUGGAGUCUGCAACUCGACUCCAUGAAGUCGGAAUCGCUAGUAAUCGUGGAUCAGAAUGCCACGGUGAAUACGUUCCCGGGCCUUGUACACACCGCCCGUCACACCAUGGGAGUGGGCUGCACCAGAAGUAGAUAGCUAACCUCGG